GUCAGUAUUUUGGUCAUUUAUUUACAAUUUCAAUGUUUUGCAGAGAGUGAUUUACAUUGCACAAAGUAUCACAAAAGUUAAUUUCUAUUUUUAAAAAAAGAAUAAAAGCCCACUCUGCACUGAAAGUAAUAAAGAUUUAUAAUCCCAAAGCAUACCAUAAUAACAGUAGUAGUAAUGAAGUACUGAUAAUUGGGUGUAUAGUCAAAUUAAGUUCUACUAGGUACAGCAAUAGUGCACUCAAAUCCUGAUUUCUAAGACUUGAACUUGUUCAUGUCUCUUACCUCUAUAUAUAGGUGACUAAUAAAAUAAAUUGGAAUAAAGUUGAAAUUACCUCAAGAGGCAGCUAACAGUCACAGCCACAUGCAGUUUUACAUUACCGAUAGUCUAAACUAAGGGAAUGAAAUGAUGAGACUUUUUGAGAUGUGAGCUUAAAUUUGAGGAGUCAAUGAGAUAUAUGAGCACCAUUAGCUAUAUCCAAAGAUAAUAACUAACACUAGUAACUUAUAUCUUUUUCUACAAAUAAAGCCACAUUUAAAACAUUUAAGCAUUGUCAAAGUGACACUUUCAAAGCAAUUGACUCAACUUAAAAUACCUGUUUGACCAUGGCAUCAAAUUGUCUCCAAUCAAGAAUUGAAAGUGUAAGUUUAAACCAUAACUAGCAAAGACCUUAAAAAAAAAAACCCUAUAAAACUGCAUCCCCUAAAACUAUUUCAAUUGACAAAGUCUAUCUAGUAAAUGCCAGAGCCUAUGCUACUGAGUGACUUUGUUCAGUAUUUUGACUUGUUGCAUGCGUCCUCACUUCCACUACAGAUUCUUCAAACUCUAGCAGACAUUAAUCUCUCUUGCACACACAUUGCUGUCUAAGCCUUUAGACUCUACAAAAUCUGUUUUAAGUGUUGGACUAAAUUCACAGUAAUCCAGUCUUCAUGAAAUUUACCCCCCCCCCCCCUCCCC